UACGAAAGGGGCUAGCGUUGUUCGGAAUUACUGGGCGUAAAGCGCACGUCGGCGGUCUUGUAAGAUGGGGGUGGAAUCCCCGGGCUCAACCCGGGAACUGCCUUCCUGACUGCAAAGCUAGAGCAUGCGAGAGGUUGGCGGAAUUCCGAGUGUAGAGGUGAAAUUCGUAGAUAUUCGGAAGAACACCAGUGGCGAAGGCGGCCAGCUGGCGCAUUUCUGACGCUGAGGUGCGACAGCGUGGGGAGCAAACAGG
rnacentral:rRNA from 1 species